CCUCACUUAGCUUAGCCUGGCCAGAGCGGCUGACUGUAGAUCAGCAGAUCCCCUGUUCAAAUCAGGGAGUGGGGACCA
rnacentral:tRNA from 1 species